rnacentral:tRNA from 1 species
AGUGAGAUGCCCGAAAAUUUAAGGACUACUUUGAUAGAGUAGAAUAUGUAAGUAAUUACUCUCACUA